AAGUCGUAACAAGGUUUCCGUAGGUGAACCUGCGGAAGGAUCAUUACAGAGAAUCUGCCCCCGGCAAGUCUCCACCCUUUCGUUCAUUUCAUACCUUGUUCGCUUUUGGCAUGGCCCUGGCCCCCAGGGCCCGCCCGGGCUUCCGGCUUGGCCAGCGGCUCUGCCAGAGGACCCCAAACUCUUGUUUUAUUGUCGUCUGAGUACUAUAUAAUAGUUAAAA
rnacentral:misc_RNA from 1 species